ensembl:lncRNA
GUAAUUCUCCAUCCGUGUCAGUGUGCCUGUUGUAAGUGGGGAAUCCCCACAGUCAGCAGUGAAGGUGCUUAUGGAAGACCUUGUAAUAACAAGGAUGGACACCCCAAGAGUCAACUGAGAAAGGUGGAGAUGAGGGGCAGACACACACGCAGGACACAAAUCUCCUGUUAUCUUCAAUGCUUUUUAAAGGUUGUCACUUCAUAUUCCAAGAUGGCUGCCAGAGAUCCAUCCAUCAGAUCCACAUUCCAAGUCAAUAGCAAGAGAAAGGAGAAAAGAAAAAGGAUAUGCGUGCCUUUUACAGAACCUUUUCCAGAAGGCCCACACUAACUUAUAUUUCUUUGGGCAUCAUUUUAUCAUAUGGCCACAUCUGGCUGCAGAGAAGGCUGGGAAUAUCAUUUUUUAGCUGGCUGUAGUGUCUCGAAGUCAGUUACGAAGGAAGAAGGGAAGGAUGAAUAUAAACAAAAUUAUACUGAGCAAAACAAGUCAGGACACAAGAAGAGUGUAUACUGUAUGGUUCCAUUUAUAUGAAACUCUAGGAAAGGCAAAUCUAAUUUAUAACAGCAGCAAGCAUUGCUGAUCGUGGGUCAGAAUUUACAGGGUGUGCAGCAAGGAAGGUUUUUGGGAUAAUGGAAAUGUUCUGUGUCCUGAUGAUGAUGCUUAUAUAGGAGUACAGAUUGGUCUUCCAAUCUGUACAAGUGUUGUCUUCCAAACAUGCACUUCCAAGGGAUGCCAUUUCAUUUGAACUAUAUAUUAUACCUCAGUAAAGUUGAGUUUUAUAAUUAUGAAAAACCCCAACACUAUAACAAAAUUAUUCUUAAAGUUUAUUCAUUUUCCUUCUCUUUUAUUUGCAUAUCUUGACACAGCUGAGAGUACAAUGCUUAUACUCACUUGGAUUCCUGCAUUCUUCACUUUACAUCAUAAGAUUUUUCCAUGUUGCUUCGUUGAUCUUCAUAAGCAUAACUUGAAAUGACUGUAUGAUCCUUUGGGAGUUUGAAAUGUAACAUGUGUACACAUACAGUUAAAACAAUUCACAAGCACCAAAGAACACACAAUAGAAUGGAGUCUCCCCCUGCAACUCUGUAAAACCCUUACUUAGAAGCAGUGGAUUCCAGUUUCUAGCACAUAGAACCAGAAACAUCCUGUGCACAUAAAGACACACGUGUGAAGACCUCCUCUCCUGUGAGACGUCUCGGAGGCAAUCCUGAGUACUCACUUGCUCACAUGAUACAUCUUGAACACCCGCUCAUGUUCUUCAUACGGUCUGAAUGUUCUCUCAUUUAUUGAAUCAAUAUUGUUAAGCACAUAGUGUUUCCCCAGUUUCUUUUUUCCUAUUAAUCAUGCCGUAGAUGUCAUGUUACUGGUUUGACUCAGCUACCAAGUUUAAAAUAAAUGCUACGUUCCAAAGGAGCUGCUAGGCUGUCUACAGCAUUUGCCAAGCAAGAUGCUUAAAGCCAGCUGUGCUGGUGCACACCUGCAGUCCCAGCUGCUUGGAGGGCUGACAUGGAAGCGGCUCAAAUUCAAGGGCAGCCUGGGCAAUUUAGUGAGAUCCUGUCUCAAAUAAAAAGGUCUGGAGCGUAGCUCAGGUGUAGAGGGCUUGCCCAGCAUGUCCUAGUCGCUGGGUUUAAUCUUUGGUACUGGGGAAAAAAAUGGGUGGGGGAGAAAAAGAAGAAGCUUAAAGCUUGUUACAGGACUGUGGGACCUCAGUGACGCUAAUGAGGGUAUAAAGGCUGGGCGCAGAGGAGACCGAGGGAGUAAUGAGGGCUUUCGCUUUCCCCCAGCGUCAAGAAAGAGGAAUUCAGGGUCACUCCGGACGAGCCCUCCUUGCUCCUCCCAAUCCCAGGCCAGCCGCCCAGGUCCCGGGGCCUCACCAGCCCACGCCCGUCCUCGCAGCCCCAGGCUGUGCCUCAUUCUGGCUCCAGGAGAGCAGCGUUCAUGCAGCCACAGUGUGGAAACCGGAGCGUCUACCCACGGCCUGUCUGUUACCAGGUAGGGGGUCCCGCGGGAUUCCCUCCGGAUCCUCGGUGUCCUGAACACAGAAGUGGACGAGACAAGACACACGGAAAAGGCGGCGCAAGCGUACAUUUAGUGAAGGCGGAAAAGAUCACGCUCUGCGGAGUAAGCGGGCGCGUGAGAAGACGCACAGCGCCCAGGCAGGCGGACAGGGGUUCUUUUGUAUUCACAGUUCCGGAGUUGGCUUCUCCCAGUGCAAAGAAAGCACCAGGACAGUUGUCAAAAACCCACUUGGCCCGGAGCCAGGUGUAGACUGCGCUAGGCAAAAACUCACGGGACUUCUUGCCAGACAGCAACAGGACUGAAAAACAGCACUUUUCUGAUUGGUCCUACGAACCGCACCUGGUUCCGAGGAAGGACUGAAGAUACUGCCUUCUGAUUGGGUCUGUGGACGGCGCUCGGGAGCCCUGGGGUCCUCCUGGGUCCUGUGUCCUGUGCAUGUCGCUGGAUUUUAUGACCCUCGACUCCUCCCCCUCCCGUCGUGGCCGCUUCGCCCAGCCCUGAUCUUCCGUUGCGCACCUCACAGAGAACUCCUUUCGGCGCGCUUGCCAUUGGAGCAGGACGUGAGGAGAGCAUGAAGCAGAAGCAGAAGCAGAGGAAGAGCCUGGGGAGCCCCAGGAAGGGAUUUCCUUGCGAAUGGGGUUCAGGGCACAAGGGCGCGAGGUAGGGGUUGAGUGGCUAGAGAGGCGCUUCGUCCUGGGGACAGCAGAAGGAACCGCAGAGCCUGUCCCUCCUCGUACACCGAGCCCAGCGAUCCCUGCGGGGCUCAGCGAGAUCAUGAAGGUGGAAUGAGUUAGAAAAGCCCCCUGCUCUAAGGAAUUCUCAUUGAUCAGGAGAUGAAAGGGAGAUGCCCUUCCACCGCGGCGAAGGCCUGCCCGAGCUCCCCAGCCCUCCAGCCUCAGCUUCUCCUUGGAUCCUGCAUAGCCUGAAUGGCAGGACAGAGCCCAAGGAACUCGGCUUGUUUCCUGAGAAAUGCCACCGCUGGAAUGUUCCCAGGGGCCGGCAGGGGAACUCUGGAG